AGAAUCAACGCUGGCGGCGUGCCUAACACAUGCAAGUCGAACGAGAAAGUGGAGCAAUCCAUGAGUAAAGUGGCGACCGGGUGAGUAACACGUGACUAACCUACCUUCGAGUGGGGGAUAACCUCGGGAAACCGGGGCUAAUACCGCAUAAUGCCUUCGGGUUAAAGGAGCAAUUCGCUUGAAGAGGGGGUCGCGGCUGAUUAGCUAGUUGGCGGGGUAACGGCCCACCAAGGCGAUGAUCGGUAGCCGGCCUGAGAGGGCGCACGGCCACACUGGAACUGAAACACGGUCCAGACUCCUACGGGAGGCAGCAGUGGGGAAUUUUGCGCAAUGGGGGAAACCCUGACGCAGCAACGCCGCGUGGAGGAUGAAGUCCCUUGGGACGUAAACUCCUUUCGACCGGGACGAUAAUGACGGUACCGGUGGAAGAGCCCCGGCUAACUUCGCGCCAGCAGCCGC
rnacentral:rRNA from 1 species